rnacentral:rRNA from 1 species
CACGUAGAAGGCUAGUGUUAUUCAUCUUUAUUAGGUUUAAAGGGUGCGUAGGCGGUCCUAUAAGUCAGUGGUGAAAUGCUCUAGCUUAACUAGAGAGGUGCCAAUGAUACUGUAGGACUUGAGUACAGAUGAGGUAGGCGGAAUUGACGGUGUAGCGGUGAAAUGCAUAGAUAUCGUCAAGAACACCUAUAGCGAAGGCAGCUUACUGGGCUGUAACUGACGCUGAGGCACGAAAGUGUGGGGAUCAAACAGG